AAUGAACGCUGGCGGCGUGCUUAACACAUGCAAGUCGAACGAGGCUGGGGGGGCAACUCCUCAGUUUAGUGGCGGACGGGUGAGUAACACGUGGGUAACCUGCCCGGAAGUGGGGAAUACCUCGGGGAAACUCGAGCUAAUACCGCAUGACAUCUUCGGGACGAAAGUUCUGACGAUCAAAGCGGGGUCGCAAGAUCUCGCGCUACCGGAUGGGCCCGCGCCCGAUUAGCUAGUUGGUGGGGUAACGGCUCACCAAGGCGUCGAUCGGUAGCCGGCCUGAGAGGGUGAUCGGCCACACCGGAACUGAGACACGGUCCGGACUCCUACGGGAGGCAGCAGUGGGGAAUCUUGCGCAAUGGGCGAAAGCCUGACGCAGCAACGCCGCGUGGAGGAUGAAGGCCCUUGGGUUGUAAACUCCUGUCGGCUGGGAAGAAAUCGUGCGGUGCUCAUACCAUCGCGCGUUGACUGUACCAGCAAAGGAAGCCCCGGCUAACUCUGUGCCAGCAGCCGCGGUAAUACAGAGGGGGCUAGCGUUAUUCGGAAUUAUUGGGCGUAAAGGGCGCGUAAGCGGUCACGCGUGUCUUUCGUGAAAUCCCUCGGCUUAACUGA
rnacentral:rRNA from 1 species